CAUGAUUAUUUCAUAAACAUCAUCUACAAUAAGAGAAGCCUUUUGUCCUGACCUCUUGUCAACAUAUUUAUGCAUUAUUUUGAUCCUGAGCAAAAUCAGGAUGAUUGCAGUCAUAGAAGCGGCUGUCUGAGCGUCUAACUCAUGGAGCUGGGUGGUGGUGACACCGUUGUAGAUCCCAGCACAAACCUGCUGGGCGAGGAGCUCGGAUCACAGUG
rnacentral:misc_RNA from 1 species